rnacentral:rRNA from 1 species
GACGAACGCUGGCGGCGUGCCUAAUACAUGCAAGUCGAACGCUUCUUUCCUCCCGAGUGCUUGCACUCAAUUGGAAAGAGGAGUGGCGGACGGGUGAGUAACACGUGGGUAACCUACCCAUCAGAGGGGGAUAACACUUGGAAACAGGUGCUAAUACCGCAUAACAGUUUAUGCCGCAUGGCAUAAGAGUGAAAGGCGCUUUCGGGUGUCGCUGAUGGAUGGACCCGCGGUGCAUUAGCUAGUUGGUGAGGUAACGGCUCACCAAGGCCACGAUGCAUAGCCGACCUGAGAGGAUGAUCGGCCACACUGGGACUGAGACACGGCCCAGACUCCUACGGGAGGCAGCAGUAGGGAAUCUUCGGCAAUGGACGAAAGUCUGACCGAGCAACGCCGCGUGAGUGAAGAAGGUUUUCGGAUCGUAAAACUCUGUUGUUAGAGAAGAACAAGGACGUUAGUAACU